rnacentral:rRNA from 1 species
UACGUAGGUGGCAAGCGUUGUCCGGAAUUACUGGGCGUAAAGGGUGCGUAGGCGGUCUUUCAAGCCAGAAGUGAAAGGCUACGGCUCGACCGUAGUAAGCUUUUGGAACUGUAAGACUUGAGUGCAGGAGAGGAGAGUGGAAUUCCUAGUGUAGCGGUGAAAUGCGUAGAUAUUAGGAGGAACACCAGUAGCGAAGGCGGCUCUCUGGACUGUAACUGACGCUGAGGCACGAAGGCGUGGGGAGCAAACAGGAUUAGAUACCCGCGUAGUCCCU